CCGUGGGCGUGGGCAGAGGCGGUGGGCUGCCCCUUGGGAGAAGCAGGGCCACAUGGCGGGGGGACCUGCCUCCCCCGGGAACAUCAGGGCUCUUAACAGAUAGAAAGUCAAUCAGAGUUUCUUCUUAAGCCUGUCUUAAAUAGCAGCAUAUUUCUACUAGAGACUUGAAAAGCUGAGCCUCUCUCAAACUCCAUGUCUGUGCUGUCCACUGAGCAAGAAAAUCCUGGAGACAGGUUUCUAAAGGAAGUCUUUCCUUAGUAACAAGAACUCACUGCUGGCUCGCAGCUGGCCGGUGUCAACAGCUCACCAGACACCCACCCCUGGGCUGAUUAUGCUCCAGAGAGGCGCAGAGCCUUUCUCCUGCGACCACUGGGUCCAGGCUGGCCUUGAACUCUCCAUGUUCCACCCCCUGCCUCCUGGGUUCUGAGAUGAGGUGAGGGGUCUAGGAAAAUUUUGUGUCCGAGCGCUGGGAAGGACGGUGAGCAGUGUCUCCUGAGGGCAGCUCCCCUGGAAACUGCAGCUCUGUGCCUGAGCCCUGGGGCGUUGCCUCCCUGCUGAGGCUGCUCUCUGCCCAGGGCUGGGCCCGGGUCCUGACAAGCAGACCCCUGGGUGGCACAGUCCUGUGAGGCACACUGUACAACCUGGGCCCGAUGUCUGUCAGGUAGGUCUCAGGACCGUAAUGGAAUGAUACGCCUUUCGGAACAGGAAUAAUAAUGUGGAGUAAAUGAAAACAAAGGAGUCUAGGCCAGGUUUGGGGUGAAAGGUGACAAAAGAAUGGAAAGAUACCUUCCUGGGAAUUUGGGUCACUGGGGCAGCGAAGCACCCCUCCGAGUUGGGAAGGCUGCACUACAUGUUCUUUCAGAGUGACUGGAAGGUUGGUUUUCUGAGCCAGAAUCUCACCAUGUAUCCCAAGCUGGCUUGUAGUCCAGUCUGGCCUCAAAGUCUCCGAGAUCCUCCUGCCUCAGCCUCUUGAGUGGCUGGCAUUAGAGGGCCUUUUCCAAUUUCAAAUCCCACAAUAACGGAAGAAACUUGGCGUUUCUUUGGAAAGCUGCAGAGUUAGGAAUGCUUAGGCAAAGGAAUCCCUCCCUAUAAGCCUGCGGGGAGCAGGGCUAGGUCAGGUUUUUCCAGAGAAA